CUUUUAUGGAGAGUUUGAUCCUGGCUCAGGACGAACGCUGGCGGCGUGCCUAAUACAUGCAAGUCGAGCGGAGUUUUAAAAGCUUGCU
rnacentral:rRNA from 1 species